rnacentral:rRNA from 1 species
UGCUUCCAGGAAAAGCCUCUAAGCAUCAGGUAACAUCAAAUCGUACCCCAAACCGACACAGGUGGUCAGGUAGAGAAUACCAAGGCGCUUGAGAGAACUCGGGUGAAGGAACUAGGCAAAAUGGUGCCGUAACUUCGGGAGAAGGCACGCUGAUAUGUAGGUGAAGUCCCUCGCGGAUGGAGCUGAAAUCAGUCGAAGAUACCAGCUGGCUGCAACUGUUUAUUAAAAACACAGCACUGUGCAAACACGAAAGUGGACGUAUACGGUGUGACGCCUGCCCGGUGCCGGAAGGUUAAUUGAUGGGGUUAGCGCAAGCGAAGCUCUUGAUCGAAGCCCCGGUAAACGGCGGCCGUAACUAUAACGGUCCUAAGGUAGCGAAAUUCCUUGUCGGGUAAGUUCCGACCUGCACGAAUGGCGUAAUGAUGGCCAGGCUGUCUCCACCCGAGACUCAGUGAAAUUGAACUCGCUGUGAAGAUGCAGUGUACCCGCGGCAAGACGGAAAGACCCCGUGAACCUUUACUAUAGCUUGACACUGAACAUUGAGCCUUGAUGUGUAGGAUAGGUGGGAGGCUUUGAAGUGUGGACGCCAGUCUGCAUGGAGCCGACCUUGAAAUACCACCCUUUAAUGUUUGAUGUUCUAACGUUGACCCGUAAUCCGGGUUGCGGACAGUGUCUGGUGGGUAGUUUGACUGGGGCGGUCUCCUCCUAAAGAGUAACGGAGGAGCACGAAGGUUGGCUAAUCCUGGUCGGACAUCAGGAGGUUAGUGCAAUGGCAUAAGCCAGCUUGACUGCGAGCGUGACGGCGCGAGCAGGUGCGAAAGCAGGUCAUAGUGAUCCGGUGGUUCUGAAUGGAAGGGCCAUCGCUCAACGGAUAAAAGGUACUCCGGGGAUAACAGGCUGAUACCGCCCAAGAGUUCAUAUCGACGGCGGUGUUUGGCACCUCGAUGUCGGCUCAUCACAUCCUGGGGCUGAAGUAGGUCCCAAGGGUAUGGCUGUUCGCCAUUUAAAGUGGUACGCGAGCUGGGUUUAGAACGUCGUGAGACAGUUCGGUCCCUAUCUGCCGUGGGCGCUGGAGAACUGAGGGGGGCUGCUCCUAGUACGAGAGGACCGGAGUGGACGCAUCACUGGUGUUCGGGUUGUCAUGCCAAUGGCACUGCCCGGUAGCUAAAUGCGGAAGAGAUAAGUGCUGAAAGCAUCUAAGCACGAAACUUGCCCCGAGAUGAGUUCUCCCUGACUCCUUGAGAGUCCUGAAGGAACGUUGAAGACGACGACGUUGAUAGGCCGGGUGUGUAAGCGCAGCGAUGCGUUGAGCUAACCGGUACUAAUGAACCGUGAGGCUUAACCUU